rnacentral:rRNA from 1 species
UACAGAGGGGGCGAGCGUUGUUCGGAAUUACUGGGCGUAAAGGGCGCGUAGGCGGCCCGCUAAGUCGAACGUGAAAUCCCCAGGCUCAACCUGGGAACUGCGUCCGAUACUGGCAGGCUUGAAUCCGGGAGAGGGAUGUGGAAUUCCAGGUGUAGCGGUGAAAUGCGUAGAUAUCUGGAGGAACACCGGUGGCGAAGGCGGCAUCCUGGACUGCAACUGACACUGAUGAACGAAAGCCAGGGGAGCAAACGGG